CCGAGUGAGGGCCUUCGGGCUCGACCUCCAACCCUUUGUGAACACAUCUUGUUGCUUCGGGGGCGACCCUGCCGUUCCGACGGUGAGCGCCCCCGGAGGCCUUCAAACACUGCAUCUUUGCGUCGGAGUUUAAGUAAAUUUAAACA
rnacentral:misc_RNA from 1 species